rnacentral:rRNA from 1 species
GUGGGUAACCUGCCUGUAAGACUGGGAUAACUCCGGGAAACCGGGGCUAAUACCGGAUGCUUGUUUGAACCGCAUGGUUCAAACAUAAAAGGUGGCUUCGGCUACCACUUACAGAUGGACCCGCGGCGCAUUAGCUAGUUGGUGAGGUAAUGGCUCACCAAGGCAACGAUGCGUAGCCGACCUGAGAGGGUGAUCGGCCACACUGGGACUGAGACACGGCCCAGACUCCUACGGGAGGCAGCAGUAGGGAAUCUUCCGCAAUGGACGAAAGUCUGACGGAGCAACGCCGCGUGAGUGAUGAAGGUUUUCGGAUCGUAAAGCUCUGUUGUUAGGGAAGAACAAGUACCGUUCGAAUAGGGCGGUACCUUGACGGUACCUAACCAGAAAGCCACGGCUAACUACGUGCCAGCAGCCGCGGUAAUACGUAGGUGGCAAGCGUUGUCCGGAAUUAUUGGGCGUAAAGGGCUCGCAGGCGGUUCCUUAAGUCUGAUGUGAAAGCCCCCGGCUCAACCGGGGAGGGUCAUUGGAAACUGGGGAACUUGAGUGCAGAAGAGGAGAGUGGAAUUCCACGUGUAGCGGUGAAAUGCGUAGAGAUGUGGAGGAACACCAGUGGCGAAGGCGACUCUCUGGUCUGUAACUGACGCUGAGGAGCGAAAGCGUGGGGAGCG